rnacentral:rRNA from 1 species
ACUCCUACGGGAGGCAGCAGUGGGGAAUAUUGCACAAUGGGCGAAAGCCUGAUGCAGCGACGCCGCGUGAGGGACGACGGCCUUCGGUUGUAAACCUCUUUCAGUAGGGAACAAGGCAUCAUUUUGUUGGUGUUGAGGGUACUUGCAGAAGAAGCACCGGCUAACUACGUGCCAGCAGCCGCGGUAAUACGUAGGGGUGCAAGCGUUAUCCGGAAUUAUUGGGCGUAAAGAGCUCGUAGGCGGUUUGUCGCGUCUGUCGUGAAAGUCCGGGGCUCAACUCCGGAUCUGCGGUGGGUACGGGCAGACUAGAGUGAUGUAGGGGAGACUGGAAUUCCUGGUGUAGCGGUGGAAUGCGCAGAUAUCAGGAGGAACACCGAUGGCGAAGGCAGGUCUCUGGGCAUUAACUGACGCUGAGGAGCGAAAGCAUGGGGAGCGAACAGGAUUAGAUACCCUGGUAGGAUAGCG